rnacentral:lncRNA from 1 species
GCGAACGGCGGUGGUAGGGUUGGUGAUGUAGAAGUGUACGGCGCACAUGGGGGGAACUAGGGUUUUCUAUUUUUUUCUUUUUUCUGAAAAUGGGUUUUGGGCUAGGGUUUUUAAUUUGGGCUUGUUAUGUGGGUUUUGGGCCUAUUGGACCCGGGUCAAAAUGGGCCGUACAGCUGCCCCUCUUUACUCGUUGUCGUGUAACGAGAAUAGAGCAAAGACUAAAAAAGGCCCAUUUUGCCCGGUCUUGCCAAAUCUUGACUUCUUGGUGCCUUUCUUCUUCAGGUAGCCUCUUUCCCC